rnacentral:piRNA from 1 species
UGCUAUGUCCACAUUUUGGACCACUUUU